UCUACGGGCGGCUGCAGUAAGGAAUAUUGCGCAAUGGGCGACAGCCUGACGCAGCGACGCCGCGUGGGGGAUGAAGGUCUUCGGAUUGUAAACCCCUUUCGGCAGGGAAGAUGGAACGGGUAACCGUUCGGACGGUACCUGCAGAAGCAGCCACGGCUAACUUCGUGCCAGCAGCCGCGGUAAUACGAAGGUGGCAAGCGUUGUUCGGAUUUACUGGGCGUACAGGGAGGGUAGGCGGUUGGGUAAGCGUGAAAUCUCCGGGCCGAACCCGGAAAGUGCGGAGGGGACUGCUCGGCUAGAGGAUGGGAGAGGAGCGCGGAAUUCCCGGUGUAGCGGUGAAAUGCGUAGAGAUCGGGAGGAAGGCCGGUGGCGAAGGCGGCGCUCUGGAACAUUUCUGACGCUGAGGCUCGAAAGCGUGGGGAGCAAACAGGAUUAGAUACCCCAGUAGUC
rnacentral:rRNA from 1 species